rnacentral:rRNA from 1 species
CGGGUGCGUAACACGUAUAUAAUCUGCCCUUAUCAGGGAAAUAGCCCGGAGAAAUCCGGAUUAAUGUCCCAUAAGAUAUUGAAGAGGCAUCUUUUUGAUAUUAAAGCUCAGGCGGAUAAGGAUGAAUAUGCGACUGAUUAGUUAGUUGGUGAGGUAACGGCUCACCAAGACUUCGAUCAGUAGGGGUACUGAGAGGUUAAACCCCCACACUGGUACUGAGACACGGACCAG